rnacentral:rRNA from 1 species
UUUCCGGGUUGAUCCUGCAGGACCUGACUGCUAUCGGAUUGAUACUAAGCCAUGCGAGUCAUUGUAGUAAUACAAGGCAGACGGCUCAGUAACGCGUAGUCAACCUACCCUAUGGACGGGAAUAACCUCGGGAAACUGAGAAUAAUGCCCGAUAGAACACUAUACCUGGAAUGGUUUGUGUUCCAAAUGAUUUAUCGCCAUAGGAUGGGACUGCGGCCUAUCAGUUUGUUGGUGAGGUAAUGGCCCACCAAGACUAUUACAGGUACGGGCUCUGAGAGGAGUGGCCCGGAGAUGGGUACUGAGACACGGACCCAGGCCCUAUGGGGCGCAGCAGGCGAGAAAACUUUGCAAUGUGCGAAAGCACGACAAGGUUAAUCCGAGUGGUUUCUGCUAAAGGAACCUUUUGUCGGUCCUAGAAACACCGAUGAAUAAGGGGUGGGCAAGUUCUGGUGUCAGCCGCCGCGGUAAAACCAGCACCUCAAGUUGUCAGGAUGAUUAUUGGGCCUAAAGCAUCCGUAGCCGGCUCUGUUAGUUUUCGGUUAAAUCUGUACGCUUAACGUACGGGCUGCCGGGAAUACUGCAGAGCUAGGGAGUGGGAGAGGUAGACGGUACUCGGUAGGAAGGGGUAAAAUCCUUUGAUCUAUUGAUGACCACCUGUGGCGAAGGCGGUCUACCAGAACACGUCCGACGGUGAGGGAUGAAAGCUGGGGGAGCAAACCGGAUUAGAUACCCGGGUAGUCCCAGCUGUAAACUAUGCAAACUCAGUGAUGCAUUGGCUUGUGGCCAAUGCAGUGCCGCAGGGAAGCCGUUAAGUUUGCCGCCUGGGAAGUACGUACGCAAGUAUGAAACUUAAAGGAAUUGGCGGGGGAGCACCACAAGGGGUGAAGCCUGCGGUUCAAUUGGAGUCAACGCCGGG